rnacentral:rRNA from 1 species
ACGGGUGAGUAACACGUAGCUAAUCUACCUCAAAGCGCGGGAUAACGUGUCGAAAGACAGGCUAAUACCGCAUAAGCUCACGAUCUGCAGAGGGUUGUGAGAAAAGGCUUAGGUCACUUUGAGAUGAGGCUGCGGCCCAUCAGCUAGUUGGUGCGGUAAAAGCGCACCAAGGCGACGACGGGUAGGGGACCUGAGAGGGUGACCCCCCACACUGGGACUGAGACACGGCCCAGACUCCUACGGGAGGCAGCAGUGAGGAAUAUUGCACAAUGGGCGAAAGCCUGAUGCAGCGACGCCGCGUGGGUGAAGAAGGUUUUCGGAUCGUAAAACCCUUUUCUGUGUGACGAGAACGGACGGUAGCACAGGAAUAAGUCUCGGCUAACUACGUGCCAGCAGCCGCGGUAAAACGUAGGAGACAAACGUUAUCCGGAGUUACUGGGCGUAAAGGGCGU